UUUUCUCCACUGCAGUGACCUCCUUAAGCAGCAGAGGCCACUAAGAGUCUUCCCGUUUGUCCCUGGACCCCGUCCCGCCAGAAGGCGGAAACAGUGAGGAGAUUCAGGCCAGGGCCCAGAAGAGAAAGGGCCUUUGUUCUCCCCGGAGCCGAAUCGCGCUGGCUUUCACACACACACACAGACACACAGACAACGGACACUUAGCCCUCUGUGUUUCUGGUUCUCAGUAUUCACAGACGGUGACCCAGGGCAAGGACGACGGAAGGGGAACAGCAUCUUGUGUGCAGAACCCGCCCGGAAUUCAGUGCCGUCAUUUGUAAAAAUCCUUCCAGGAAGAGGAAGUGAGGGCCCCAGCGGCAGAAAGGCCCACGGGGGGAACAGGUGGAAACCACCAAGGCAAACGUCCGUCCGUGCAGCACCCGAGACGCGAGAUUCUGUUCAGCCCCGUGCCGGCCGUGUGUGCGUGCCAGGCCGGUCCCCACCAGUGUUCGCAACCCUGCCGUAGGAGGCACCUCCAGGACUCUGCUGUCCUGACCGAAGCUACGCAAACCGGCCUCACGAUGGAUCGGCCCCCGGUGAGGCACCCUCUCGGAUUCUCGAGCAGACGGUGUGCCCCCUGCCCCGCGGGCUGUAAGUCAGACUGAGUCGCCUGUUGAAUCCCAAAAACCACCCAACAUUUUCAAGAGUAAACAUUUCCUAAACAGCAACAGCUGUGGGGCAGCAUUUAGCUGAAGCAGGACCCGGGUCCUGACCUCGCAGUUCCCAGGAUCGCUGCCUGAAGGGGAACAGCAUUGUUAGCCUAACAGACUUUACGUGGAGUUAGUCCUGCAUUAUUCCAGACGCGGUUGUCUAAACCCGGGGGAACGUGGCAGCCUCUCGGGGCCUGUGCAAUACUAUUUAAAUGGCUCUACGAUGCUGAUACCGUGGUGGACACGAUGUGCAUUUUGAUAAGCGCAAUGGUAUCAUUACUGCUCAGAGUUUAGAGAGUUUCCGGAUUAUGCCACCGGAGCAGAAGGAAAUGUCUGCAGAAUGAACUACCAAGGUGAGCAUCCGGUUUGCAGAGACACCAGAGGACCCAGGUCUGGAUCUCACUGCUCAAUGUGCCUGAGAACUGCAGAACUCCGGGCAGAUGGGACUACCCAAACCCGGGCACUGGGACCUGGAGCCUGUGAGGCUGUGUCCUGGGGGAGCGCUGGACCCACCCGCGAAAGUCCCGUAAGAAGCCGGGAGCCUCCAGGAGAAUUCACCAUCCAGCCAGCGCAUGACCCCACUUAGAGCAUUUACUGGAAAGGACUCGGAGCCCUGACCGCUAUCUCUGGGAUGUGUACGCCCCUCCCACCCACAGGAGCAUCUUGCCCAAGGACCUGAGAGCCGUUCCUUAGAAACGGAAUCAUCAGGAGGGACCUCCGUGUCCUGGUCCCUGCAGAGAGGGUGGGGUCCCAACUCAGGUCACGGCCAGCAGGCAGGCACGCCCGUCUCCUCGCAUUAACACUGUGCAGCCCUCUGCGGGUGGUCACUGUGCCCACUUCCCCAUCCCUCCUCCCUCAGUGCCCCUUGAAAACACCAUCACCUCGCACAAAUGCCACUCUGUGCCCUGGCUCCUUCUCUACUGUCAGGAGGGACAACAAAACCUGGUGUCACCACGGUGAUGUCCAGCAGUGACGGCCUGACGUGCUUCGGAGGUCAGCAGUUCAGGCACCCACAGCCGUGCCUUUCCCGUGGCAGGAGACCAGGGGCCCCCACCGUGUCUUCUGGGCUGCGCUGACAACCUGGCUUCACACCCACCCCCCUCACGACAGGGCAUCAGCCUCUCUGACUGCUCCUUACGGCACACAUCACAUCCUUCGUCAGGUUUGUGCAGCUGACUUGAAGGGAGGGGACCCCACCACAGUGGGGGUGGACCGAGGAGCCCCUGGGCCGGGGCUGAAGUCUCUACUCCAUGCUGAGGCGUCAGCAUGCUCCCGGAGAGUCUGAGGGGACGGCGAGGGACGUCCCUCAGACAGACGCUCGGCGUGACAACAGCCGAGGCCUCGCGGUCUGUGAACAGAGUCUGAAACCCCAGCGGUGUCUGUGCACUGAGCCUCUGGUCCGUGGUUCUCGAGCAAUCCCUGCAGUGGGCCGCUCUGGGGGGCAUGACUCCAGGCCACAUCCACGUGAGGGGUGAGUCACCCCCACCGUGCGGGGCGGGAGGCCGAGGGCACAGGGGGCUAGUGAACGUGCCCACGGCCAGAGGACGGUCGGGCAGCCCUCACACGGUCUGGCCUCCGCCACGCUUACUCAGCCUGUGAGUAAUAACCACACGAC